rnacentral:rRNA from 1 species
AUACCCGCGGCCCGAGUGGUGGUCGAUAUUAUUGAGUCUAAAACGUCCGUAGCCUGUUCAGUAAAUCUUUGGGUAAAUCGGCCAGCUUAACUGACCGAAUUCCGGAGAGACUGUUGAACUUGGGACCGGGAGAGGCCAGAGGUACUUCUGGGGUAGGGGUAAAAUCCUGUAAUCCUAGAAGGACCACCGGUGGCGAAGGCGUCUGGCUAGAACGGAUCCGACGGUGAGGGACGAAGCCCUGGGGCGCAAACGGGAUUAGAUACCCCGGUAGUCCAGGGUGUAAACGCUGCAGGCUUGGUGUUGGGGGUCCUUCGAGGGCGCCCAGUGCCGGAGAGAAGUUGUUAAGCCUGCUACUUGGGGAGUACGUCCGCAAGGAUGAA